rnacentral:rRNA from 1 species
UACGGGGGGGGGCAAGCGUUGUUCGGAAUUACUGGGCGUAAAGGGCUCGUAGGCGGCCAACUAAGUCAGACGUGAAAUCCCUCGGCUUAACCGGGGAACUGCGUCUGAUACUGGAUGGCUUGAGGUUGGGAGAGGGAUGCGGAAUUCCAGGUGUAGCGGUGAAAUGCGUAGAUAUCUGGAGGAAUACCGGUGGCGAAGGCGGCAUCCUGGACCGACAUUGACGCUGAGGAGCGAAAGCGUGGGGAGCAAACAGG